AUGGACAGAGGAGCCUGGCAGGCUACAGUCCAUGGGGUUCCAAGAGUCGGACAAGACUUAGCAACUAAACCACCACCCUCACAGAGAGGGAGAGUGAAGGGCAUAAGCUGUCAUAAAGUCAAAACGAAACUGCCAAUAACACGGGUUCUCUGUCUCCCAAGAGUGACUCACCCAGUGAAAACCAGAGUACUUAUUGUUCCAAGUGUCAAAAUCUGCAGAACUGCCUCCAGGAUUUGGGUCUCAUCCAGCUUCAAUGAACCAAACAUUCCAGCAUCUUCCUCCAGUACCUGUGAACGCUGCAUUGUCUUCUCCCUGUGGCUUUUGUUUUUGAAAGCUCAUAAAGAGGAACCCAGGAAGUCAGGAAACAGCAGGGUGACCAUUUCCUUCCCCAGGACAGCCUUCAGCCAGUUUCUACAUGCCUCUUGCCAGGGACAAAACUGGCACCUAGACUGCCCCGGAGGACGCAGAAAACCAGGACCUGGCUGGGGGCUGAAAUGUACUCCAUUGAAGAAUCCUCUGGCCUCAGCACUGGAAGGACCAGCCAGCGGCAGUGAGAGUUUAUCAUCAUUUGGAGGGAGGAGCAAGUCCUUCAGGCUGCCUAGAUUCCAGAACGAAGCUCUUUUUGAAAGAAGAGGCGAGGCCCCUUUCCGAGAAGUAAGCCCCCCAGCGUGGCUUUGAAGAGCUUUGCUGACAUUGUUACAAGAGGGCAAGAUGAGCUUACAAACCCCCAAGCCAUGGAUCACUUGGCCAGAAAAUCAUAAAGUAGAGACAUUCUGACUCCUGAAACUGUGAUUAAGAAAUGUCACAAGAUGAUGAUUAAUCUCAGCCUCUUUCGUUCUUCCCCUUAAAAAAAAAAAACACCCCUAACUCAAAGACCAAGGUGGAGUGGAUCUGAGGCUUGUCUUCCACUCCCUCGCUUGGUGCUCUCUGAUAACCUUUACAUUGCUGCAAACAGCCACUGUCAGAGUCUGGCUUCCUACACUGCAGGUACACGAGCCUUUUGCUCCAUUUCGGUACUGGCUACCAAGAUGUAACUGGAAGUGAUAUCUUUGAUGUCUGGGGAGGAUCCUUAAAGGAUAAAUGGUUAUCUUCUGGAUUUUUCCUUUCCGCUGGCUGGAAUUCAGAUGUGACGGCUGGAGCUGCAGCAGCCCUUGUAGUCCAUGAGAUGCAAGCCACGACUCCCCCUAAUUUUGUUUUCUUCC
rnacentral:lncRNA from 1 species